ACUUCGGUCCCGAGUAGAGUGGCGCACGGGUGAGUAACGCGUAAGUGAUCUACCCCUGUAUCUGGGAUAACUGUGGGAAACUGCAGCUAAUACCGGAUACGUUCAUGUAGUUGCGAUUAUGUGAAGAAAGAUGGCCUCUGAUUCAAGCUAUUGUACAGGGAGGAGCUUGCGUACCAUUAGCUAGUUGGUAGGGUAAUGGCCUACCAAGGCAACGAUGGUUAGCGGGUCUGAGAGGAUGAUCCGCCACACUGGAACUGAAACACGGACCAGACUCCUACGGGAGGCAGCAGUGAGGAAUAUUGCGCAAUGGGGGCAACCCUGACGCAGCGACGCCGCGUGGAUGAUGAAGGCCUUCGGGUCGUAAAAUCCUGUCAGAUGGGAAGAAGUGUGUGGUGGUUAAUACCCGCCGCAUUUGACGGUACCAUCAGAGGAAGCACCGGCUAACUCCGUGCCAGCAGCCGCGGUAAUACGGAGGGUGCAAGCGUUGUUCGGAAUUACUGGGCGUAAAGCGCGCGUAGGCGGCUUGUUAAGUCAGAUGUGAAAGCCCAAGGCUCAACCUUGGACGUGCAUUUGAAACUGGCAGGCUUGAGUAUUGGAGGGGGUGGUGGAAUUCCCGGUGUAGAGGUGAAAUUCGUAGAUAUCGGGAGGAAUACCGGUGGCGAAGGCGACCACCUGGCCAAAUACUGACGCUGAGGUGCGAAAGCGUGGGGAGCAAACAGGAUUAGAUACCCUGGUAGUCCACGCCGUANACGAUGAGAACUAGGUGUUGGGACGGUUGAUCGUCUCNUUGCCGCAGCUAACGCAUUAAGUUCU
rnacentral:rRNA from 1 species